rnacentral:rRNA from 1 species
UACUUAGAACAUAGCAUUAAUGCACUGGAUCCCAUUAGAACUUUGUAGUUAAGCGCGCUCAAACUAGAGUAGUAUUGGGAUGGGUGACCACCCGGGAAUUCCUAUUGUUUUACAUGC